rnacentral:rRNA from 1 species
GAUCAUGGCUCAGGAUGAACGCUGGCGGCGUGCUUAACACAUGCAAGUCGAACGGGAAACCUUUUAUUGAAGCUUCGGCAGAUUUAGCUGGUUUCUAGUGGCGGACGGGUGAGUAACGCGUGGGUAACCUGCCUUAUACAGGGGGAUAACAACCAGAAAUGGUUGCUAAUACCGCAUAAGCGCACAGGACCGCAUGGUCUGGUGUGAAAAACUCCGGUGGUAUAAGAUGGACCCGCGUUGGAUUAGCUAGG